UUUGUAAUAAUAAAUGAUUGUGUUACAUGUUUUCUUGGCUUUCUUGCUGUUAAUUGUCUGUGUUUCAUCUUUAAUUUACAGCUUCUUCUUUUUGAGUAUAAAGUUGACAUUGAUAUCUAUGGUCAUUUUCCCAGUUUCUAAGUCAAAAUAUUCACCUUAUUGCCAUCUGAUUGAGCAUUGGAACAUUACAAACUAGUUAUUGGUGAGGUUUUACCAUAAACGCCAAAUUCCUGGUGAUAUUUCUUAGUCCAUAGAAUGUUCCCAGGACUAUUUUUCCGCUAGUUUCACUAGAUAUGCUUGAUUACUUGUGUUGGUGACUCUAUGUUUAUUGCAAUGGUUUCUGAUUUUUUUUGCAGGCUGCAUUACUACUAAGG
rnacentral:misc_RNA from 1 species